rnacentral:lncRNA from 1 species
GCUGAAUUUGACCCCAUUAGAUGGUUGGAUAAAUCAUUGAUUCAUUUAUGUUCUCGGUUUGGGGAGUACCAGAAGGAUGCCCCAUCUUCUUUCACCUUAUCUCCUAGAUUUUCAAUAUUUCCUCAAUUCAUGUUUAAUUUACGACGUUCACAAUUUGUCCAGGUACAUGGUAUCUUAUUUAUAUGUAUUAAUUGUUCCUUGUACACAUUUNNNNNNNNNNNNNNNNNNNNNNNNNNNNNNNNNNNNNNNNNNNNNNNNNNNNNNNNNNNNNNNNNNNNNNNNNNNNNNNNNNNNNNNNNNNNNNNNNNNNNNNNNNNNNNNNNNNNNNNNNNNNNNNNNNNNNNNNNNNNNNNNNNNNNNNNNNNNNNNNNNNNNNNNNNNNNNNNNNNNNNNNNNNNNNNNNNNNNNNNNNNNNNNNNNNNNNNNNNNNNNNNNNNNNNNNNNNNNNNNNNNUUUUUGAGUCUUGAUCAGAUUGAAUUGUUUAUUGGAACUUAAUGGGUUCUGAUACAAUAUUAAGACAUAGUUUCAUCUAAAAAAGUCAAUCUUAUUAGGAAAAAUACACCAAGCCUGCAUAUGUUGGUUUAUAUUUCGGUAUUCAAUCGAUCUGGGUUUAUCCCUUAACAAUGCAUGAUAGUGUGUAUGAAAGUACUGUCAUGCAAAAUAAUAAUAAUAAUAAUAAUAAUAAUAAUAAUAAUAAUAAAUAAAGCCCUAACUUCCCAGUAAAUCAGUAAAUGUGUUUGAAGCCCUGAACAAUGGAAUUUGGCACAAAUUAUAAGAGUUCAGAGGUUUCAUGCCUGACUUUUGCUCAUUCACCUGUUUUUGCUUGGAAAAUGGGGUCAUUCGCCAAAAGCUGACUCUGUUGACCGAGAAUGAGCUGCUGUCUGAGACUGCUCAUCACUCAACCCAAUUCUAUUGAGUGGGACUGGGCUAUUGUUCAAGACUGGGCUAGAAUUAGUCCUAAAGGUCAUGUUAUUAAACUGCAUUUGGGCUGCAAUAUAAUGUCCAAAUGCUUCAAGUACUGCCACUAGAGAACACCAAAUAUGCUUCUCCUGUUCCUUCCUUAACCUGUAAAGUGUUUUAGAAACAUGUCCUUUGAAGAACAAAGAAUUAAAUCUACCAUAUUUGUAUUUUCAAAGUCUAUUCCACGAUUCCAUUCCCUUGCAUAAUCUCUUUGCUUAAAAUGAUGAUUAUACAUCUUAUUAGUCUUCCACAUCACAUGCUGAAAAAUGGAAAGCUGUUUGUUAGUGAAUGCAUGAUUUUGGAGGAGAUAUGGUUGUUUUCCUGACAAUUGCUGGAUAAAUUUAUCUUUUAUUAUUAUUUGUUAUAAAUAUUUCUGUCCUGGAAAUUUUUAAUUCUAAAAAAAUGCGAAAUUUACUAAGAUAUCAAGGUUCCAAAUUCUAUGAACUUGAUGGGUGGAAGAUAAAUAAUUAGACAGGGUAUACAAGAGUAUAUCAGAUAAUUCCUCCCUAUCAUUAAGAUUUCACAAAAGAUUGUGAGUACUGAGACAGAGAUAGAACAUCAGUUUGUGUAAAAAAAUGAGUUAUAUGCAUUAAGGAAAGAAGAUACAUAAAUCUAAUGGAAAAUGGAGAUCUCCCUGCAAACAUAUUCCUUGAUCUUAUGCACAUUUACUUCAUGUAUUGUGGCGUUGGUCAUAGCUUCAGCUUUACAAUAAUAAACAGUCAACUCUUAUUCUCAAGCUUCAUUUUUGACUUUUUCUGAUACAGGUCUUUAACAACAGCCCAGAUGAGACAGCAUAUUUUCGAAUGAUUCUUAACAGAGAAAAUGUUGCUAAUUCAGUUGUAAUGAUUCAACCCUCAUUGAUCUCUUAUUCUUUUCAUUCUGGACCAGAACCUGUUCUUCUCGAUGUGGCUUCCAUUGCUGCUGAUAGAAUCCUUCUUUUAGAUUCAUAUUUCAUCAUUGUCAUAUUUCAUGGAUCAACUAUUGCUCAAUGGCGAAAAGCUGGAUAUCAUGAACAGCCUGAACAUCAGGUAACUAGAUGUAAAAAGUAACGGCACAUGCAUAACCUUAUCCUCAUGACACUUUUGAAGGAUAAUUCAUUAGCAUUCAACAGUAAAACCAACACAAAAUAAUCAGACGACAGGAAGAGGUGCCUGGUAUCAAGCAUUAAUUUGUAAAGGUUGAUGUUGUAAAGGUUUGAAUGAAAGAAUGGGUAAUCUUUUAUCAGAAAAAAAUAAGUAAAAAUAAAAAUGGAAGGGUAGCAAUCACUUCCUAAAUUCCAUAUGAACUUUGUUGAUUUUUAUUAUUGCGACUGGUAGACUUUUUUGUGAGAAAUAGUCAAAUAGAACCUUAAAACUCAUCACAGUUUAUGAAGCCUUGGUUUUUGUGAUGUAAAUGGUUGCAAUCUCUUGGGGGAUAUUGCUCUCUCAUUCAAAAUAAAUAAAGGUAAGAAAGGUGCAAUACUAAAGUCUUGCAGCCUUAACCAUGUAAUGCAAAUGAUCCUAUUAAAAAUGUUCCCUUAAUUUUUUCCUUGAUUUUCAAAAAUAUCAAGAUUGCAAGAUAUUAUAACUUUUACUGUUAAUCAAGGAAAAUUUUAUUCUGUAGAUUACUAAUUUUUAUUUGAGCUCUCAAUUUUUAGGACGACUUAGGUCCUACUUUUAACUAUAGAACCAUAUUCUAAACUAGAGUCUAAAUCAGAAAAAUACACUCAAAUACGCUAAGUAAAUUAUUGUUGAAAAUUGUGCAAACAAGUGGAAAAGAAGCAUACUAAUGAAAUAUCGUUUAAUUUCAUUUUCUGAUCAUAUAUUAUGAUUUUUGAAUUUUGUAAGCUAUCUUUAUAUUUCAUGGCCUCUUCACCUUGGUAUUUGACAUUUGCAAGUUUUUUACUAUCCAAGUUUGAUAUUCCUUGCAGGCUGAAUUUGACCCCAUUAGAUGGUUGGAUAAAUCAUUGAUUCAUUUAUGUUCUCGGUUUGGGGAGUACCAGAAGGAUGCCCCAUCUUCUUUCACCUUAUCUCCUAGAUUUUCAAUAUUUCCUCAAUUCAUGUUUAAUUUACGACGUUCACAAUUUGUCCAGGUACAUGGUAUCUUAUUUAUAUGUAUUAAUUGUUCCUUGUACACAUUUUCAUGUGGCAGAAGAGAGAAUUUUGUUAGAGAGAAAUAAAGUAUGAAAAAGGAGGACAUGAUAUCCUCAACUGCCAAAACUGAAAAAUAAAAAUGCAUUUAGUAUUGAUUAACCAUAAUAGCGACCCAGCUCGUUUGUUAAUCUAUCAAAGUUUUCCCAGUGGUGCAGAGAGAUGAAAAGAAAAAUCCACUGUCCCUAUAAAGGCAACAGAAAAGUAGGUUGUUUGUGUUAAGACUUGGAUUUUCAUUUUAAAAAGUCAACAUUAUUAAGAUGAAUAACCCAAAUCUUUAUAUGUUGGUCUAUAUUUCAGUAUUUAAUCGAUGUGGAAUUUAUAUCUUAACAUACCCCUGCAAAAUGGUGGUCAAUUAAGCAGAUCAAUUUUGAAAUUCGCUUGCUCAUUUUUGAGUCUUGAUCAGAUUGAAUUGCUUAUUGGAACUUAAUGGGUUCUGAUACAAUAUUAAGACAUAGUUUCAUCUAAAAAAGUCAAUCUUAUUAGGAAAAAUACACCAAGCCUGCAUAUGUUGGUUUAUAUUUCGGUAUUCAAUCGAUCUGGGUUUAUCCCUUAACAAUGCAUGAUAGUGUGUAUGAAAGUACUGUCAUGCAAAAUAAUAAUAAUAAUAAUAAUAAUAAUAAUAAUAAUAAUAAUAAUAAUAAUAAUAAUAAAAAAUAAAGCCCUAACUUCCCAGUAAAUCAGUAAAUGUGUUUGAAGCCCUGAACAAUGGAAUUUGGCACAAAUUAUAAGAGUUCAGAGGUUUCAUGCCUGACUUUUGCUCAUUCACCUGUUUUUGCUUGGAAAAUGGGGUCAUUCGCCAAAAGCUGACUCUGUUGACCGAGAAUGAGCUGCUGUCUGAGACUGCUCAUCACUCAACCCAAUUCUAUUGAGUGGGACUGGGCUAUUGUUCAAGACUGGGCUAGAAUUAGUCCUAAAGGUCAUGUUAUUAAACUGCAUUUGGGCUGCAAUAUAAUGUCCAAAUGCUUCAAGUACUGCCACUAGAGAACACCAAAUAUGCUUCUCCUGUACCUUCCUUAACCUGUAAAGUGUAUUAGAAACAUGUCCUUUGAAGAACAAAGAAUUACACCUACCAUAUUUGUAUUUUCAAAGUCUAUUCCACGAUUCCAUUCCCUUGCAUAAUCUCUUUGCUUAAAAUGAUGAUUAUACAUCUUAUUAGUCUUCCACAUCACAUGCUGAAAAAUGGAAAGCUGUUUGUUAGUGAAUGCAUGAUUUUGGAGGAGAUAUGGUUGUUUUCCUGACAAUUGCUGGAUAAAUUUAUCUUUUAUUAUUAUUUGUUAUAAAUAUUUCUGUCCUGGAAAUUUUUAAUUCUAAAAAAAUGCGAAAUUUACUAAGAUAUCAAGGUUCCAAAUUCUAUGAACUUGAUGGGUGGAAGAUAAAUAAUUAGACAGGGUAUACAAGAGUAUAUCAGAUAAUUCCUCCCUAUCAUUAAGAUUUCACAAAAGAUUGUGAGUACUGAGAUAGAGAUAGAACAUCAGUUUGUGUAAAAAAAUGAGUUAUAUGCAUUAAGGAAAGAAGAUACAUAAAUCUAAUGGAAAAUGGAGAUCUCCCUGCAAACAUAUUCCUUGAUCUUAUGCACAUUUACUUCAUGUAUUGUGGCGUUGGUCAUAGCUUCAGCUUUACAAUAAUAAACAGUCAACUCUUAUUCUCAAGCUUCAUUUUUUACUUUUUCUGAUACAGGUCUUUAACAACAGCCCAGAUGAGACAGCAUAUUUUCGAAUGAUUCUUAACAGAGAAAAUGUUGCUAAUUCAGUUGUAAUGAUUCAACCCUCAUUGAUCUCUUAUUCUUUUCAUUCUGGACCAGAACCUGUUCUUCUCGAUGUGGCUUCCAUUGCUGCUGAUAGAAUCCUUCUUUUAGAUUCAUAUUUCAUCAUUGUCAUAUUUCAUGGAUCAACUAUUGCUCAAUGGCGAAAAGCUGGAUAUCAUGAACAGCCUGAACAUCAGGUAACUAGAUGUAAAAAGUAAUGGCACAUGCAUAACCUUAUCCUCAUGACACUUUUGAAGGAUAAUUCAUUAGCAUUCAACAGUAAAACCAACACAAAAUAAUCAGACGACAGGAAGAGGUGCCUGGUAUCAAGCAUUAAUUUGUAAAGGUUGAUGUUGUAAAGGUUUGAAUGAAAGAAUGGGUAAUCUUUUAUCAGAAAAAAAUAAGUAAAAAUAAAAAUGGAAGGGUAGCAAUCACUUCCUAAAUUCCAUAUGAACUUUGUUGAUUUUUAUUAUUGCGACUGGUAGACUUUUUUGUGAGAAAUAGUCAAAUAGAACCUUAAAACUCAUCACAGUUUAUGAAGCCUUGGUUUUUGUGAUGUAAAUGGUUGCAAUCUCUUGGGGGAUAUUGCUCUCUCAUUCAAAAUAAAUAAAGGUAAGAAAGGUGCAAUACUAAAGUCUUGCAGCCUUAACCAUGUAAUGCAAAUGAUCCUAUUAAAAAUGUUCCCUUAAUUUUUUCCUUGAUUUUCAAAAAUAUCAAGAUUGCAAGAUAUUAUAACUUUUACUGUUAAUCAAGGAAAAUUUUAUUCUGUAGAUUACUAAUUUUUAUUUGAGCUCUCAAUUUUUAGGACGACUUAGGUCCUACUUUUAACUAUAGAACCAUAUUCUAAACUAGAGUCUAAAUCAGAAAAAUACACUCAAAUACGCUAAGUAAAUUAUUGUUGAAAAUUGUGCAAACAAGUGGAAAAGAAGCAUACUAAUGAAAUAUCGUUUAAUUUCAUUUUCUGAUCAUAUAUUAUGAUUUUUGAAUUUUGUAAGCUAUCUUUAUAUUUCAUGAUAGUUGUUUUACUUAUCUUAUGCCUUUUCUGGAAGGUUGACUGUAAAUGUACUUUGACGUAAAUGGACUGGACUAUAUAAUAUAUGUCAUAGUAAGAACUAAAACUUUUACUUGAAUGUAACUAGAAUUUUAGUGGAUAUGUAAAAUUAUUCAGCCUGCUAUUGCUUUUUAAUAUAUUAUAGAAGUGUAACUCAUGUAUUGACUGUAACUGUUUAUCGUGUUUAUGUAUUGUGUACCUUUGAUGCUCAAAUUCUUCGAAAUGGUCGGAGUACCCGUGUCGGACACGACAUGACAUGGGUAUGAGUAUGAGAUAUGUGUUGGAUCCUCUAAAUUUCAACUGGACACUUCAUCCUUUUUUUUUCCCGUUUCUACACUCUAUAAACCUAGAGAUGCCUCUGAGAGGGUGGAGAAAGGCUACGGCACUAGAUUUUUCCUUCUUCCUUUUUUCUUUCCCUCUCUGUAUUAGCAGUUUAGGGUUUUAUUUGUAUAAAAUGAAAAUGGGUUCUAUAUAGUGCUAUUUAAUGCUCCACCAAACUUAACAAUGCAUGAUAGUGUGUAUGAAAGUACUGUCAUGCAAAAUAAUAAUAAUAAUAAUAAUAAUAAUAAUAAUAAUAAUAAUAAUAAUAAUAAUAAUAAAAAAUAAAGCCCUAACUUCCCAGUAAAUCAGUAAAUGUGUUUGAAGCCCUGAACAAUGGAAUUUGGCACAAAUUAUAAGAGUUCAGAGGUUUCAUGCCUGACUUUUGCUCAUUCACCUGUUUUUGCUUGGAAAAUGGGGUCAUUCGCCAAAAGCUGACUCUGUUGACCGAGAAUGAGCUGCUGUCUGAGACUGCUCAUCACUCAACCCAAUUCUAUUGAGUGGGACUGGGCUAUUGUUCAAGACUGGGCUAGAAUUAGUCCUAAAGGUCAUGUUAUUAAACUGCAUUUGGGCUGCAAUAUAAUGUCCAAAUGCUUCAAGUACUGCCACUAGAGAACACCAAAUAUGCUUCUCCUGUACCUUCCUUAACCUGUAAAGUGUAUUAGAAACAUGUCCUUUGAAGAACAAAGAAUUACACCUACCAUAUUUGUAUUUUCAAAGUCUAUUCCACGAUUCCAUUCCCUUGCAUAAUCUCUUUGCUUAAAAUGAUGAUUAUACAUCUUAUUAGUCUUCCACAUCACAUGCUGAAAAAUGGAAAGCUGUUUGUUAGUGAAUGCAUGAUUUUGGAGGAGAUAUGGUUGUUUUCCUGACAAUUGCUGGAUAAAUUUAUCUUUUAUUAUUAUUUGUUAUAAAUAUUUCUGUCCUGGAAAUUUUUAAUUCUAAAAAAAUGCGAAAUUUACUAAGAUAUCAAGGUUCCAAAUUCUAUGAACUUGAUGGGUGGAAGAUAAAUAAUUAGACAGGGUAUACAAGAGUAUAUCAGAUAAUUCCUCCCUAUCAUUAAGAUUUCACAAAAGAUUGUGAGUACUGAGACAGAGAUAGAACAUCAGUUUGUGUAAAAAAAUGAGUUAUAUGCAUUAAGGAAAGAAGAUACAUAAAUCUAAUGGAAAAUGGAGAUCUCCCUGCAAACAUAUUCCUUGAUCUUAUGCACAUUUACUUCAUGUAUUGUGGCGUUGGUCAUAGCUUCAGCUUUACAAUAAUAAACAGUCAACUCUUAUUCUCAAGCUUCAUUUUUUACUUUUUCUGAUACAGGUCUUUAACAACAGCCCAGAUGAGACAGCAUAUUUUCGAAUGAUUCUUAACAGAGAAAAUGUUGCUAAUUCAGUUGUAAUGAUUCAACCCUCAUUGAUCUCUUAUUCUUUUCAUUCUGGACCAGAACCUGUUCUUCUCGAUGUGGCUUCCAUUGCUGCUGAUAGAAUCCUUCUUUUAGAUUCAUAUUUCAUCAUUGUCAUAUUUCAUGGAUCAACUAUUGCUCAAUGGCGAAAAGCUGGAUAUCAUGAACAGCCUGAACAUCAGGUAACUAGAUGUAAAAAGUAAUGGCACAUGCAUAACCUUAUCCUCAUGACACUUUUGAAGGAUAAUUCAUUAGCAUUCAACAGUAAAACCAACACAAAAUAAUCAGACGACAGGAAGAGGUGCCUGGUAUCAAGCAUUAAUUUGUAAAGGUUGAUGUUGUAAAGGUUUGAAUGAAAGAAUGGGUAAUCUUUUAUCAGAAAAAAAUAAGUAAAAAUAAAAAUGGAAGGGUAGCAAUCACUUCCUAAAUUCCAUAUGAACUUUGUUGAUUUUUAUUAUUGCGACUGGUAGACUUUUUUGUGAGAAAUAGUCAAAUAGAACCUUAAAACUCAUCACAGUUUAUGAAGCCUUGGUUUUUGUGAUGUAAAUGGUUGCAAUCUCUUGGGGGAUAUUGCUCUCUCAUUCAAAAUAAAUAAAGGUAAGAAAGGUGCAAUACUAAAGUCUUGCAGCCUUAACCAUGUAAUGCAAAUGAUCCUAUUAAAAAUGUUCCCUUAAUUUUUUCCUUGAUUUUCAAAAAUAUCUAGAUUGCAAGAUAUUAUAACUUUUACCGUUAAUCAAGGAAAAUUUUAUUCUGUAGAUUACUAAUUUUUAUUUGAGCUCUCAAUUUUUAGGACACAUGACAUGGGUAUGAGUAUGAGAUAUGUGUUGGAUCCUCUAAAUUUCAACUGGACACUUCAUCCUUUUUUUUUCCCGUUUCUACACUCUAUAAACCUAGAGAUGCCUCUGAGAGGGUGGAGAAAGGCUACGGCACUAGAUUUUUCCUUCUUCCUUUUUUCUUUCCCUCUCUGUAUUAGCAGUUUAGGGUUUUAUUUGUAUAAAAUGAAAAUGGGUUCUAUAUAGUGCUAUUUAAUGCUCCACCAAAUCCAAAUUGCAAUGAAGUCCCUCAUUUUCUAUUUUACAUAACAUUUUAAUAAUUAACUUCUCAUAAUUGAAAAUUAAACCCCAAAAUUCUAUUUUAUUCAUCUUAGCCCCUUAUUCAAUACUCAUUUCAUUCUUUGUGAACAAUUGAUUUUGGUAGCCCCUUAUUGAGUGGGGUGUACAAGAUUAUCGUGAAGAUCUUGGCUAAUAGACUAGAGGAGGUGUUGGAGAAAAUGAUGUUUAAGUUUCAAAAUGCUUCUGUCAAAGAAUGUCAGAUUUUGGAUUCUGUACUUAUAGCAAAUAAAUGCAUUAACUCAAGACUGCACCUAGGGGUUCUAUGAAUGUUAUGUAAGCUUGACAUUUAGAAGGCUUAGAUCACAUAAACUAGGGAUUUCUUUCGUAUAUGCUCAGGUAAUGUGGUUUUGAGGAUAAGUGGUGUUAGUGAAUUCAGUUUUGUAUCUCUACAGUUUCUUUCUCAGUUAUCGUAAACGACACUUCAGAGGGUUAUUUUCGUAGUAGCAGAGAAUUGAAGUAAGAGAUCCUUUGUCUCAAUUGCUAUUUGUCAUUGUAAUGGAGGCUUGAGAAGGCAAUGGGGGAGAGUUUGUUAAGGGGCUUUAUGGUUGAGCAGACGCAAGUAUCUCAUUUGCUAUUUGCAAAUGAUACGCUGAUCUUCUAUGAUGUAGAUGUUGAGCAAUUUAGUAACCUACAUCGUUUGCUCCUAUGUUUUGAAGCUAUAUCUUGAUUAAAAAUAAAUAUGGGGAAAUUUGAGGCUAUAACAGUGGGAGAGGUCGAUAACGUGGAAGAGUUGGCUGCAUAUCUUGGGCUUCUUUUAUGAGCACGGUUUAAAAGUGCACAUAUUUGGAACAAUAUUGUGGAAAUGAUGGAGAGAAGGCUAGCGGGCUGGAAGCGUAUGUACCUCUCAAAGGGAAGCCAUCUUACUCUCAUAAAGUUUACAUUGUCGAAUCUCCCUACUUAUUUUUUGUCAUUGUUUCCUAUUCUUACGAUAGUGGGAAAAAGAUUAGAGAGGAUCUAUAUGGAGUUUCUUUGGGAGGAUUAGGGAAGGAGAGGAAAUUACAUUUGGUUAAUUAGGGUGUAGUUUGUUCCCCCAUAAGAUUGGGUGGUCUCAGACUGAGGAAUCUCGUACUGUUCAAUAAGACCUUGUUGGAUAAGUGGUUGUGACAAUUCGAAGUGGAGAGGGAGAGUUUUUGGAGAAAAAUUAUAAGGGCAAAAUAUGGUUUUAUGGAAGGGGAUGGUGCUCAAUUGAAAAUCGUAGUUCUUAUGGGGUGAGUUUGUGGCAGUGUAUUUGGCCAGGGUGAAGCGAUUUUCGGGAUAAAUUGACUUUUGUAGUGAGAAAUGGUUAUACCAUUAGUUUUUAGGAUGAUUUGUGGAGAUCAACCGCUAAAAGUGAGAUUUCCUUCUUUGUAUCGUACGUACUGUGUUGGAGCCGUCUACCAUGGUGAAUGAUGUCUUAGAUAUACAUAAUGGGAGUUCCAAUUGGAAUAUUGUGUUUGGCCGGGGUUUGCAAGAUUGAGAAUUGGAUGAUUAUGAUUGAGAAUUAGAUGAUUAUGCACUGUUUUUGAUGUCUCUGUACGAGGUACACAUUAGGGUUGGAGAGGAUGAUUGUAGCAGGUGGAGGUUGACAAGAGAUUUUUUUUAGUUGACAUUUAUUUUAGAUCUUUAUUGGGACUUCUAGAGAAUUCGUUUCCCUAGAAGAUGGCAUGGAGAUGUAAACUGCCUCCACGGUUGACAUUUUUACUAUGGACGGUGGUGAGGGACAGGUUUUAACGGUGGAUAAUUUUUGAACAAGGCGUUUUUAUGUUACAGAGUGGUGUUGUACGUGUAAGAGAGAUGAGGAGAUGAUUGACCACUUGUUCCUUCAUUAUGAUAUUGCUCGUUUAUUGUGGUAUGAUAUUGUGGCGCCCAACACAUGGAUUGAGUGUUGCCUAGGCGUAUGGAAGACGUGUUAAAGGCAUAAAGGAGAAAGUUUCGGGAUAAGAAUAGCAAACUUGUAUGGGACCUUAUCACGAGUUCCAUCGUAUGGUGCGUGCGAGGAAACAAAACAGUUGUUGUUUUGAUGAUCGAACACGGACAACAGAGUAGAUUAGAGAAUAUUUGACAUUAUAUGCUUGGUUUAAUAUUGCGGCUACUAGGUAUAUAGAUGAGCUGCCCAAUUUCAUGUUUCUUUCUUGAUUAAAUUGAUAAUACAUUUUUCGUGUAUUAUGUAUUGAUUAAUAAAAUAUUUGAUUACCUUUAAAAAAAAUUGAAGUUUGAAAGACAUACCUAAUUACCCGUAUCCGAAAUUUAGACUCUUUUUUGCCAUGUCUCCUUAACCUACAUUUUAAAAAAUAAAAGAUCCGUCGCUUAAAUAAGUACCCGAUACCUAUUCUCAAGUCCGAGCAUCAUAGUUGUGUACUCUUUGAGCAAAGUUGAGAAAUACUUGAGUGUUGGUUUUAUAUCGAAUUCUAUUGUUAUCAUACAAAUAUUUUGCUAUAUAUAGAUUAUCUGUUCACUAUGUGUAUUAUGUACUUUCAUUAAAUUCAAUGGACUGUCCGAUUUCUUCUGGAAUUGAGAUCACAAAUCUCUGUUUCGUAUUCAAUAAAAUCUGUUAGGUGCUUUAAAAUUUACUUGUAAUACAUAAUUUGAAACAAUUCAUAAAGCCAUAUAGUGGAGGUCAUCAAACGCUUUGUGUAAAACGUGGGUACUUUUUAUUUUGUUAACAAAAUCUACUUUCCUCCCUUCCCCAACACAUGUUAUCAAGAAUUAGCACAAUUAGGAGGCUGUGUUGGCCUGGAGAGAAGCUUGUGGACAUCUCAAUAAAUUAACCAUAUCAGUUAGGCAGCCACAUGGCAUUCAUGAUGGUGGUGCUUUAUUUUAUCCAAGUCGAAUAACGGACUCUGGGUUUUGGAUGGAGAACUUGACUAGCUUGUUAGGGGAAGGUCUGUCACUAUUAAUUUGCAUCUGAGCUUAACUUGAUGGGUUCAUUUCAAAUGUUACUGUCCUUGCAGGCAUUCACUCAGUUGUUACAAGCUCCACGAGACGAUGCAGAUGCAAUAAUUAAAGAAAGAUUUCCAGUACCUCGCUUAGUAAUUUGUGAUCAGCAUGGUUCUCAGGUCUUUAUUCUAUAUCUCCACAAAUGAGCACUUGGCUUAAUCGACACCUUGUUUACACUAUUCACCUUUUUUAUUGUUACAUUUAACCGGCCGUUAGCGACUCAUUGCAACUGGCUAGAAUAAAUUAGUUAUUGCUUGCUUUUGUAUUUUCCCUUUGCAUUCUUAAAAAUAGUGUUUGGAAUUUAUAAACUCGUAAAUCUUUGAUUCUAGGAAAUCCUUUGAGCCAGGUCUAUUUUAACUUGUUUGAUGUUUACCCUUUGGCUCUGAAUGACCUGUUAGUUUUGUGGGAUGGAUAUGCAUCUUUUUUAUGAUGGAAGCAUUGGGAAAAAUGUAUACUGGUAGGAAGAAUGGCGGUCAUUGUGGAGGUCUUGUCGCAUAGUCUCUUAAGUCUUAACAAAUGAUUGGCAUGGUCAUCUCCAAACCUCAUUUUGUGAAUCCGUGCCUUCUUUAUUCUUAAUUACCAGAAAAUCCCUGUAUUUUCAGUGAAACUUGUAAUAAUUCUUUACCUCAUUUAGAAGAGGCCGACCUGUACCUUCAGUUAAAAUACAUAUUACCAUAUCAUGCUUCAGUAAAAUCUCUCAUACUUCUCUCUCUGUCCUUCGGAGGGUGCCAAACUUUACCUUCAUUUCAAAUUCCUUACACCAUCCUAUGAAACCUGUUUGCUUCUCUGCUUUUACCUUUCUAAUUUCCUCUCUCUCCCUUCCUUUCGGACGUGCAAAAAUGACCUUAAAUCAAUUGUUUACACAUACAGUUCCACGGUAGAAGGCAUUAAACUAUUUGAUGUGGUACCAUGUUGGAGCAGAAUACCCAGAUAAUUAUGUGCAACAAUUCUAAGCUUUUUGCAAAAUAGAAUUCCUGUUGUUUUCAAUCUCCAAUCAUUUACAUCUGAGGAAUAGUAGCACUUAUUUACGUUUUAAGGUAUUCUAAUGUUCAAAGUUCAAACUUGUGAUUGUAUUAAGGGAUGAGAUAAAUUCUUAAGGUGGGGUUUUAAUGCAAACAGAGGAUGAUUCGAACUCUGGAUUUUCUCUUUUGAUUACUGUAUCAGUCUUCUUCAGUUUCAUCACCAUGCGUAUGUGAAUGAGGAGAGCAUCCUUACAGAAACGAGCGAAAAAAAGGGAGAAAUUGAGGUUUCUUCAGUCUGAUGAUGAACAGUUUGGUUAAUUUGUAAAUAAAAGAGAACUUUGUUGCUGAAGUGUAUGUAGAGUGAAACUUCUUUAUUUAUUUUUUCUGACUCUCUUUUUCUCAAAAAUUGAUGGAGCGAAGUUGCUGGUGUUUGGGAGUGCUACAGUAAGAGAUAGAAUUACCACCGUUUCUGUAACUGCUUGAGGUUAAUUGUGAGCUUUAAACUUCUGGAUUAGUAGAGAUAGGUAAAUGAUUAUUCCUGAAUUUUGCAAAAAAGUUCAAACGAUGGGCUGUUGGUGUAUAUCUACUACAUUUUUUUAGGGGUGUGUGGUGGAUUGGUGGUUUAUUGUGAAAAUGAACAUAUUAAUUUAGCAUCAUGUUACAAGAAAUGGUCCUCAAAGCGCCAUAGCAAUAGUAAGAUAGCAUUACUGAUUUAAGUGAAUUAUUUGUAGGCUCGUUUUUUGCUUGCAAAAUUGAAUCCUUCGGCUACAUACAACUCGGAUAUUCCAGCUGUUCCUGGAGGCGAUAUCCUGUUUACGGAUGAUGUUAGCUUUGAGGUCUUCUUGGAUCAUCUUCAGCGGUUAGCGGUUCAAUAAAAUUUCUCUACAAAAUUAUCAGAGGUUAGCUUUAUGAUGAAGUACAACCAAUUUUGUUUAAGUUUUUUCUCUGGAUUGUAUGUACAGUUAUGUUUACAACUGAUUAUAUAAUCUCCUCUGAGGUUUUGAUUUGGGAUCCUAAUAAUGUAGAUUUUCAUGGUUUUAUUUUAUAUAGAUAGGUAUUCACUUAUGACUUGAUCCCUCAAAUUCUAUAUCGCUUCUUCAGUUUUGAGCACAAUUUCUUGUUUUUAUUAAACAUUCACUUUUGGCUGGCUGUGGAUACAUCUUAUCCUACUCUUUUAAGUAUAACUUAAGCUCGAAGAACCUGAUGUUCUAGUUUUCCAAGUGUAUUGCUCCACUUGAGUAAUUUCACGUUCAAGGAAAACUGAUCUAAACAGGCCUCCGGCCGGGCAAUUUCAAAACAAUGUCUAACCAUUAACUAUGUAUAAAUUCUUAAGCAUUCCUAGCAAGUAAAUUACUGUGGAUUAAACACGAGAAAAUACUCCAGCGAAUUGUGAAUAUCUAGCUGAAGCUCUUCUAGGCCUUUGACGCUAAGGGUCCAAUCAAAGGCUAAGGGUCCAUUUGAUUGGAGUGAAUUGCAUGGAAAAUGUCACAUUCGAGAAAUUCGUUUUCUAUUUUGGUUGUUUGAUACGAAAGUGGAAUGAAGUUUAAAUUUCAAGAUACAAACACUUAAACUAUGUUUGAUAUGCCUCCAUUUUCUAUUAAAUUUCAUUUCUCACUUUUUGACAUGUUUAAGGGUAGAAAUUUUUCAUAGAAAACAUUUUCCAUAAACCCAUGCCACAUAAGCCCUUUCUUGCUUCUUGAUGAAAAACAAUUCCCAUCAAAAUGGUGGGAAUUGUAAUUUUCAUGUAAAACAACUCUAAACGAAUAUCAAAAGAUAGAUGAUUUUUUUGAUUUUUGAUUUUUUUUUUGGUAAUAGAAAUAAAUUUUAUUUUCAAUGCCAGUGAAAUCUAUGUUUGAUUGUCUUAGAAGUUGUUCUUUUCUUGGUUUUCCACCCUAGUUUAACGUUUUUUUUUUCCUUCCUUUUUUUUUCAUUUUUUUUUUGUAAUGGGAAUAAAUUUUAAGAAUUAUUGUAAAAAAAUAUUUCCCCUUAACUGACAAAUUUCAUGUGAAACAAAGACAAACGAGCAACAAAAGAUAGAUGAUUUUUUUGAUUUUUUUGAUUUUUUUUUUUUUUUUUUUGGGCAAUGUUAACAAAUUUCAUACUCAUUACCAGUAAAUUUUAUCCCUUUAAUUGACGAUUUUUAUGUAAAACAAAGUCAAAUAAACAUCAAAAAAUUUUUUUACGUGGAAAAUUAUAUCAAUCAAAAACAAUAAUUUGCAACUCCCAUAAAAGCAAUUUCUAGGCUAUUCAAUUUUUUGGAAUUCGUUUUCAAUUCAAUUCAAUUCCAUAUUUGCAAUCAAACGGACCCUUAUAGUAUGUUUUUGUUCAAUUUCAUGGAAAAUGCAUUCGUAUGAUUUUGAUGAUUUUUUCUUUUUCAAUGUAUAUGAAAUUGAUUUACGUUUUCCACAUUUGCAAUCAACAGACCCUAAGAGUAGGCAAUUAGGCCACUUUUGUCGAACAAGUUUGAUUGUAACAUCAUCAUCAAUAGUUUGUACUUCAACCUCAGUGUUAUUCAGUUUCUUCUUGAGCCUCUCUUUACGUCUCCUCUUCUGUACGACAACUUUGAGCUUGUUCGCAGUCCUUUGUGAUUUUUCAUUGUUGACAGCAUCUAGCACGAUAGAUGAUCUAUCACACUUUGGAUAGUUCUAACCAAAAAAAUUGUAUUUGUUAAAUACAGGGAGUAAUUAAAAAUUUUAAUCGUAUCAAUUUUUAAACGAAUUGAUUCAACAUUCUAGGAAGUCGUUACCUUGGUGGGGUUGGGAAUCUGUCAUUCAAAAGUGUUCUAUAAUGCCUGGCAAAAUUUAUGGUUUCUUCUUCAUCCCUGAUUUUACCUAUGUAGGAUAUGCAAACUGGGUUCUUCAAAGAUUCAAAAGUCAUGUACUCCAUUUUUCCCAACUCGAGAUCAUGUUGUAGCUGUGGAAUAUUUUACUAAAUGGGUCGAAGCCGAACCACUAUCUCAGAGGCCAAGCUGUAGCACUUCAUGUGGAAGUCCAUCGUUUGUUGCUUCAGUGUGGCCCGUACACUCGAAAUUGCACAAAGAUCGACAACUUUGCAAUCCCACUUUCGAAAAUUUCUGCCAUAGAUUAAAGAUCGCCUCCUACCAGCAAAAGACAACCAAGUACUUCAACAAUAGGGUCAAACAAUGCGGAUUUCAAGUUAGAGACUUGGUACUACGACAGAACACUAGUUGGAAAACUAGGUACCAACUAGGAUGGGUCUUAUUAGAUUCGAAGGGAGGAGCAAAAACGAGUUUAUAACCUUCGUGACAUGGCAGAAAAAUCUUUUUCUUGACAUUGGCAAUCGACGACCUCAAUAUCUAAUACAAAUAGACUUAUCGCGGACUGGUCACGCAAUUCCUUACUGUCCUAGAAGUUUAUAUUAAAAAUAUAUUUUCAAGAAGGAAAAUGUCAUUUGUACAGGGGUAUGAUUUACAAAAUUUUUAUAGAACACUCACAUGGAGUGAGCCUCAUAUUAUUAAAAUAUUGUCAAAAAUAUAACACCAACCAACUUCCAUGUGUGUGUCCUGUAUAGACUCUGUGAAGCAGGGCUUGUCCUUGUAUCUUUGUCCUUUCAAGAAUACAUCUUAACUAGAGUUGGCUUUUCAAACUUAUAUCAAGUUCUUUGAUAAAAUUACCAGGUCAAAAUCAAAAUAUUUGAAAAAAAAAAAUUAAAGACCCUAAUUGAAUCCAAAUCUGGUUUUGUACAGGACUCAAGGCUUACACAUUAAUUAAUGAUAUCUAAUUUUAGUCUGUGUUCUCAAAAGUUCGUUUAGACUCAAAGCUCGAACAAAAUGCUCCACUUCUUACCUACACUAUUUUUUUUUUUUUUAAAUUCAUAAACAGCUGAAUUUUUUUAUUUAUCUCUUUUGUUUUCCCAAUUCAUGCUUUAUUAAUUUUUUUCUUUUACUUUAAAAAAAAAAGUCUUUUUUUGACUUUAAUUUCAGGUUUUUAAAAGACUUUAUCUAUAAAAAAAUUAAAAAUUAAAAAUGACUUUAUCUAAUAAAUAUUAAAAUAAGAUUUAAGUUAUGGUGAUAUCUAUGUUAUAUAGUUAUGAUCUGAGUCUCAAAACUCAAAAAGUAUAUAUGAAGUUCCUCUAAAUCAAUUAAGUAGGAUUUGUUUAACUGAAAAUUGAAACUAUGAAAAAUGAUUUAUUUCGAAAACUUGAAAAUUGUUAUUGGCUAAUUGUAAGCUUUAUUAAGUAAAUAUAGUAUUUUAUAUUUAAAUGUUUGAUAUGUAUUAUUUUAACUAUCAUUUUAAAAAUUAUUAAAUAAUUAAUGAAAUAAUAUUAAAAAUAAGAAAAUCUUUUUUUAUGCAUAGGCUUUGCCUAAGUUCGUAAAGCUUGAAAUUUUUCCUUCACGCCUAAUCAUGUUUUAUGCUUCUUAAAACACUGAUUUUAGUUAUUAAUUCACUGCAAGAAAUUAUGUUAAUGAAACAUCAAAAGUUCGGAUCCUCAAUUAAAAAUAAAUAAAUAAAUAAAAUAAAGGGUCAGAACUCAAAAACAAAAAAAAAAAAAAAAAACAAAAAAAAAUUGAGCGUAAGGCACCAAGGGAUGGCAGAUAUUCCAUAUUACCAUAGCUUUAUUUUCCGAAAAACAAUAACAAAUACAUUAGAAAAACUUAUACGUAAUUUUAACAUAACUAUUUUUUUUAAUGUUUACUAGCAAAUUACUACCAGUAUUUUGCAAAAUCUAAAGCCAUUUGCAUGUCAGAAGUCCGGGUGUAAAACUUUUAUCAGUUGUGCUAUGUGUAUAAUUGGGGUUGACAAUCCCGGUUGACAAUUAGACACAUGGGAGGGGGGCCCACACUGAAUAAAAAAAUCAUGGGUCCCCCUUCCUAUGAAUACAUUGUCAACGGAAGUUGUUAACCUCGGUUCUACAAGAAGAAUAAUUCAACUUUUAUAUGUUGAAUUGAUCAGAAGUCAGACUCGAUAUAAUUCAAAUAAAGAUAUGCCAUUUGUUUAUUAGUUAUUUUUGCGAUUGAAUGUAUCAAGUAUGUCUUAAAAUUUCUCAUUUCACGAAACAAUCUCAACAUCUAACGCAUCAUAAACACGAAUGACAUUUUUGAAGGGGUCAAAAAAUAACACACGAGGGAGAACAUCGACUUAAUUAAUCCAAGGGUCACAAGCAGGAAAAAUAAAAUAAUAAUAACAAAAAAAAAAAAAAAUCUUUUACUUUUUGUUUAAUCUAUUUGGAGAAUAAGUGAUUCAUAUCUACUAAAACUCAACUGAAUAUCAAGAAAAUCUCAUUUGAAACUAACUUAUCCCAAAAAAUCCUAAACACAACGGCACUCAGUUAACUUAGUCAAAUUCCAAAUCAAUGUUAUCAUGUUUGAUUACCCUUUUGCAUUCCACAUUGAAAGAAUUUUUACUUAUCCCCCGCAAUCUGCACUGAAGUUCUUGCACUUACUCUUUUCGUCAAGGUAUGUUACUUCCAAUUUUCUUGUUAAAAAUUCAUGAGCAAUCCUUUCUUCAACUUGAAUCUUGUUCAAUCCAUAAACAUGUUAUAACUGACACCACUCGACCGAUCUCACCCACUAUUUAUCUGUGAACUAUAGUUUUUUGUGUUGAUACAUGUGAUUUUGCAUAUUUUCGCAGGUUGUAUAAAUCUAGUUUGAUACAUUUUAACAUAGUAGAUGAAGUAAAAUGAAAUGGCAUCCAGACACAGCAUAGAACGUCCAACCUGGUAAGCCACUGCAUUCCUCGUAGCUUCCGGACCUGCUUUUAAGUUACUUUUCACUUUUUCCCUCUGUAAGCAUGGACUUAAUGCCAAAAUAAUUGGAAAAAGCAGCUUUUAAGAUCGACGUUUUUCCAUAUUGUUCAGGAGACCAAAGUCCAAAUUGUCACCAGAAGUCCAGUUUCAUAUACGUGGAGUACAAUUCACAUUGGAUGUGGUAAAAAUCUCCCUCAAACUGCAUUUGCAUUCUCAAAUAUAUUGUAUAGACAACAUGAGCCGACGAGAUUUGAUCUAUUAUACUGUUUAAUCUCGUUUAGUAUUGCAUGCAAAAUUUCUUUCUGAAAAUCACUUCUUUUGUCAAACUGCUUAUUUUAUGUACCUUUAGGAACUGGCGGCCACCAAAUCAGCUAAACUAGCAAAGUUGUUGAAAGAAUACCCUCAAAAUGAUCUUUCUCAUUUAUUGCGCGACAUUCCUGCUGAUCCAGAAUCAUUUGAGCUUGUUGGGAGAUUCUGCCAUGGUUAUGAUAUCAAAUUGUCGAACGAAAAUGUUGUCCAAGUGGCAUGCAUUGCUCAUUACCUCGGAAUGACCGAAAACCACUGUCCUAACAAUCUACUAAACAAGGCCCUCUACUUCUUUGAACACCAAAUUCUUCCUAAUUGGAACAAUUCCAUCAAAGCUCUAAACAGUGCAGAAAUUGUUCUUGAACAUGCAGUAAAACUUGGCCUAGUUGAUGCGUGUAUAGAAUCUAUCGUUGUAAAGGUGCAGGAAGAUCCACGUUUACUUGGAGAGCCGAUCAAGAACUUGUCUUCGGAUGAUGAUGAUAGUGAUGAAAGGGACAAUGUUUACAGACCAAACACUCGGAGGAGACUUUUUGAUCUUGAGUGGAAACCUGAGGAUUUAAAAGCACUCUCGUUGAGGUUUUAUGAACCUGCAAUUCAUGAAAUGAUUCAGCGUAAAGUCCCACAAGAAUAUGUUGCUUCAUCUCUUUGUCAGUAUGCGAAGAAAUGGGUGUUCGAAAAAGAAGAGGAUGGUGAGAAAGAGAUAGUUGAAUCUUUGGAGAGAUUGCUUCCUCAUCAGAAAGGGAUAUUUCCUUGCAAAUUUCUGUUUGAAAUGCUAAAAUCUGCAGUAUCACUUCAUGCUAGCAUUCACUGCAAAAAUGGAUUGGAGAUCAGAAUUGGAAAGCAAUUAGAUCAGGCAAAUGUGAAAGACCUAUUCAUACCUUCCCCAGGAUACACAGGGGAUGAACAGUACGAUAUAGAGAGCAUAAGAAGAAUUUUGAAGAAUUUCUACAGCAAUUAUACAGGUCCAGAUGCUUCUGGAUUCAUCAAAGUGGCUGAAUUAGUUGAUAAUUUCUUGGCAGAAGUUGCUAGUGACAGAGAUUUGAAGAUGAGCACAUUUUUAUCACUUGCUGAUAUGUCGAUAGCAGUAUCAGAAGGGACAGAUCGAAGUUCGGAUGGAGUAUACAGAGCUAUAGAUAUAUAUCUAGACAAGCAUAGGCAUCUUACAGAAUCAGAAAGAGAGAAAUUAUGCAGGGUUUUGGAUUGCAACAAAAUGUCAGUUGAAGCUCGUGAACAUGCUGCGCAGAAUGAAAGGUUGCCAUUGCGCGUAGUGGUGCAGAUUUUGUUCAUAGGGCAGUUGCAGCUUCGGGAAACCAUCACAAAUGAAGUGCAAGGUUCUGAUGACAGGCUCUUGAAGAGCGAGGAAGACGAAGAAGAAACAAGGGCUGAAAUGGAAAAGAUGGAAAGUAAGGUUUUGGAGCUAGAGAGGGAUUGCCAACUAAUGAGAGAGAUUCAGAGAGGCAGCUGCGCAAAUGUGAAAAGGCAGAAACCAAGCUUGUGGAGAGAAAUGAAGAGAAAGUUGGGGUGCAUGACAACUAUGCAUGAUCAUAAUUGCCAUGUCAAGAAGAAGAAGGUGCAUCCAAGAUAGAUGAGUUAUCGGUUUUUUGUUUUUUAACCACCACCACCAUAACCCGUAGUACUGAUUUCAAUAAUGUCUGGGACGACGUUUUAAACUCUCAACUGUGCUCACUUAUUUGUUACUGUUUUCAAGUAUCUGCUUAUUCUAUCUCUAGUUAUUAUAAAACUUUAUUGAUCAAAAUGAAGCUAUCUAACUCAAGAAUGAAUAUAACAGAAGGCUGAACACAAAAGGCAUGAGGAGGAAUGAUGCGAUGUUUCAUAAUGAGAGAUUUGUAGUCAUCGCUAGCAGGGAAGAUAUUGAAUCAAGUGUUUUAGUCAAUUAACUUCCUAUUCUGCAAAGAUGAGAUUGCCGUUUUUCACUACAGAAGAGAGGAUGUUACCCAAACAAAUAACUUGGUCUCUAUCUAAAAAAUUAGACACAGAACAAGCUUAUCUUAUCCUGGUCAGGAGCUAGUUUCUAAUGACUUUGUCAGAAAACGAAAUUCAACAAUUCAACUUCAAAAUGUUUCUCAAUCUCAGUCGAUUGGUACCUUAAAACGUUCUAAUCCUUCAUUACAAAAGCUGGACCAUAUAUCAUCCUAUUCAAGCUAUUAAGCUUGCGUUGGCCUAUAUCAGUGGAUCUUUUAAGAAAAGAUUGAAAAUGAGAAGGGAGUGUUCCGAGUGAAUAUGCCACAUUUCAUAGUUCUCCGGAAAUAUGCAGGGCAUUCACAAGAAAUUAGAAUGUACUCAAAAAGUUUCAGUUUUAUAAACAUGAGGUAAAGGCUCCACAGAAGAUUCUCAGCAUAAUAUUGAGGAGUUCAUUUCUGCUCCAUCUUUAAAAGAGACUGUAACAGUAAAUAAAACAAAACCUUCCAGAAAUCUCAUACAAAUCGACCACAUCGACCACACAUUCUAAACAAAAUUAAGUUUCAAAUCUUCCUCAAGAGAAGAAACAACUUUUGAUCAAUUCUGAGCUUAUGCAUUUUCCUUUAUCAUUAGCUGAAGCCCUCCAAAUGAAAUAUAUACCACCUUGUUGUCAUCAUAAAAGAGAAAAGGAAGAGAAACUCCAAAUCAGAAGAGCAAGAAACAAAAAGAUUGAAUCCAUGGAGAAAACUAUAAAGCAAUAAGACACCAUAAGAAAUGAAAUUUGAUUUCAACACAAAAUGAGGCACUACUAUCCUUGAUAGCAUGCUUGGAAGGGAGGAUUAGACAAUACUAAGCAAAUAAAUUUCUUUGAAAAAAGGGGCAUAUAAAGCGUACACUUCAACACCGUUGCUUUCAUCAUUUUUUUUUUCUUUAUCUUCUGACAUCUUAUACAGCAACCCAUGCAUGACAUACUCAAAUUUAUCCGCAAGUGAUUUCUGUUCGCCGUGCAAUAGGAGUACAAUAUUAAGAAAAUCAAACUCAAUCCACAAUAUGGUUAUUGUAUUAUCCUAGAUCUUCCUUAAAUACUAGUUGCUAAAUAGGAGUAAUCCAUGUUGAAUGGAUUAUCUAAAAGGCCGUAAUUAGAUGGCUCAUGCACACAUGAUGUAGAAUAGAUGGUCAAGUGGAUUAUGGAAAAGUUGGACCGAAAUGAAAAAAAACAAUAGAUUGUAGAUUUGGUAUUCGAGCUUCGAUUUGAGCCGAUAAUACCUUUUCGAAAAGGGAAUGAUCAGCCAAAUUGAACUCACAGCUUUGCUGUUGUAUGGUAGAUUUUACCUAUUUGAGUUCGUUUAAGACUCAAAAACUAGUUUUUAAGAUUUAGUGCUAUUUUAUUCAUUUAGUUUAUUUCGAAUUCUUUACCAUUUUAGUUCCUUUAUGCUAGGUUUUCGUUUAAACACUUAUAAAUAUAAAAGGUUAAGAUUUUGUUUUUGGACAUCUUGGAAUUAAUAAAACUUCUUAAUUUUUAUCUUUCAUUCUUUGAUAGUUUCCUGAUGUUCUUACAGUUUUCGCUUGAAUUCCUUAUUUUGCUCUGCGUCAAGAAAGAAUGAAAAGAAAGUGAACCUCAGGAAUGUACCCAGUAACAGCCGAACCGUCUAAACUGAGAGUCUGGGAUACCAUAUGAUAUAGCUCAGUAUGCACAUCCAGUUCCAGAUGCACGUCUUUAUCUUCAGUCUGGGCUUCUAUGCACGAAGCUGGAACAACAUAAAACCUUUAGCUAAAAACUCUUCACUCUAUUUCAGUACUUAUUUUAUUAAAUAAAAUUUCAAGAAAUUAAAGGUAACAAAGAGGAAUGUCAAGAUAUUUUUACCCUUUUCAUAUCUUUUCUCGUCUAUAUUAAUGACCUUGAUUAUUUCAUCAAAGUGGAAUUCAGCCAUAUAUGCCCCGCAAGUUGUCUCCUAGAAAUUAUAAACUGGGAAUUCGAAUGCAGAAUUUGUUUUUCAAAUUUGAAAAAGCAACAAAAGUUCGAAACAAAAAGAUAAUAUGUAAAGAAUUUUUAAAUCGAUCAUGUGAGCUUAUAUGCGUAAAUUAUUGUGUAUUAAAUUAAGAAAAAUCUACACAACUAUCUAAUAAUCAUAUUUCAAAUCUAACAAUCUUGUUAAAUUAUUUCAAAAUUCAUGUGUUAACUUAAAUUUGUAAUAUUAAUAAAUAACAUUAUAAAAUUAAAAUAAUCUACCUACCUAUGCAUCCACACCCCAUUCUACCUCAUCAAAUUUCGCUUUGAAACUCUAAUUAUUUCAUUUCUAUCUUAUCUCUCAUCUCAUUCUCUCUCUCACGUAGAAGACAUCGUCGGAAAAUCGUUGGUGGAAGAAGAGAAGACGCUAUUGGAAGACGUCGUCGAGCCUCAGGGCGAAGUCACUACAGCUAUUACGCUGGCGCCCGUGUCUUCGUGUGCUACAGUCGAUGCCACAGCAGCGGCUCUGUGUGCGUCUCAGCACACUACAGUCGUCGGCCUAACCAGUGCCAGAGGAAAUUUCAGAUCUGAUUUUGUAAAGCUGUAAAAGAAAUCAAGUUCCUAGAUUUUAAAAAUGUUGUUAACCCUUGCCAAAUCACAUCCUUAAUGUUAGAAGCUCAGAACAGUAGCUGGGCUUGAAACCAUAGUGAAUAUCUUUUUAAAACAUUUGAUCAUGUGCUCAGUAUAAUUUUUGCUUGGCUCUUCUCUUCAGAAACCUACGGCUUGAUUGAUUUUUGCAUAGAGUACUAUAGGCACUUCAAGUUUUGUUUUCAGUUGAUUUAUCUGGUAGAUAAAAUGGAGUUGGGUUAAAUGUGGUGAAGAAAUUGGUGGUGGGAGUUCUUUAACCUUGCAACGUUAGUGAUUGUUGUGAUCAUUUUGUUGUUGGUGGUUUGCUUAUUUUCAAUUUGAUAGUGCGACAUUUAGGUUGGGGUGGGGUCGAGGAUUUGGUGGAAGGGGGUGAAGAGUGUUUGUGACCGAUAAGAUUGAUAAUUGUGACUAAUAAAUGACGUGACUUGAAAAAAUAUAAAAUUGUCACUAAAUUUAUGAUUGUCAUUCACAAUUUAUUAAGUUGUGAUCAAUUAAUUUGAUAAUUGUGAUCGAAAAAUAAUUUGCAACCAAUUAAUAUGAUAAUUUAUAAUCGUGAAAUAAGUCGUGGCCUAAAAAAUUUACGAUUUAUGACCCAAAAGUGAAACGUGUUCUAUUAAUUUGAUAUUUGUGAUCGAUAAAAAAAUUGAGACAUAUAAAAUUUGUGAUUUGUGAUCGAAAAAUAUUAUAUGACUUAUUUCAAUAUUUUUCUUUCCUCAUUUUAAAUGCACUCAACAUUUUCUUAUUUUCAGAUUACCAUUACUCCACCACCAACUCCAAACCAUUUUUCACUUGCACCUACACCUAAUGGUUCAAAAAGAGGCACAAUCAUGCCCCCCAGGGCACUUCUCCACUGGCAAAGGACGGAUGCUGUCAAACCUGGCAGAGCAGAGGUCGUGAGUUCGAAACAUGGGGCUCUUGGAAGGCAAGGAUUUAUUCUUGGAAGGCAAGGGAACAUUUGGAAGGCAAGGAUUUAUUCUUGGAAUGCAAGUGGGAACUUGGAAGGCAAUGAUUAUUCUUGGAAGGCAAGGUGCAACUUGUAUUGGCUUGCUUGGCACUUUGUCAGACCAGGUGGGGAGCGCUCGGACCCUGGCCAGUUGGAGGCACAUCCUGCGAUUAACCGGACUGUGUGAAGAGGGGCCGGAUCACAGACCCAAGGAUUAGUCUAGAAUAGGACACCUUGUAAAAAAAAAAAAAAAGAGGCACAAUCACAAGUUGUGACUAACUGUGACCAAAUAUGUUUUUAGUGUGACCGUUUGUGCUCAAAUUUGUCUUUAAUGUGACUAUUUGAGACCAAGUCAAUCUUAAUUGUGACGUUAUCUAAUCAAGUCACAAUUGGUCACAAUUAAUGCAAAAUGGUCACAAUUAACAUAAAAUAGUCACAAUUAACAUAAAUGGUCUCAAUCAGUCACAAUAAAGACAUAUUUGGUAGGAUCACCACAAACAAAUCUGCAAGCUCCGUAGCUCAGCAUCACAAUCAACCACCGAUCUCCACCACCACCACCACCUCUAAUGUACCACCACUACAACCUUCAACUCAAAUUCAUGAUCAUAAAUGGGAUAUCAGAUUUUAAAUAUGUCAUCUUGACACAGUAAACUCUCUAAGAUCAAGCAUGACCAUGUUGACUACUCAAUUUCUAUUCAAAUCACUAUUAAACAAGAACAUAGAUCUAUUUUUGUCCACUAUUCUUGUUGUCCAACAACCAUCACAACAUAAUGUUCAAUGCAUACCGAUCAAAAAAAUGUUGUAGAGCAUCUCUUUUAUUAUUCUAGCCUUUAACUAUCAUUAGUUACCUUAACCCUUCCAAACCACCACCAGUGUACCACAACUAAAAAUAAAAAAUAAAAAAAUUACUCCCAAAUCAAUACUAACACAUCCAAAAAAACAAAAAAUGGGAAAAAGAAACUUUUUACAACCAACGGAACAAAGUAACUGAAAGCUCAAAAAUACCAUACAUAGACAAGUGUAAUCAAUCAUAGCAACGUGUGCAAGGGAGAAGAAGAUGAUCGUAGAAAUGGGGAUGGUGGACUUUUUUUGGAUGAGGGUUGAUGAUGAUACAGAGAUCCAAGUGUGUCCAAAUGGCUAAACCUCAUGGCGGAGAAAAGAUCAAGCAGCCAUGAAUAAGGGACGACCUGAAAAUGGAGCAGUGACUUCGGAUUGUAGAUCUAAAAAGUCCAAGCAAGCUACGGAUCGUGGACAGAGCGGUGCUUUCAAUGGAAAAUCCCCUUGGUGGAUCCAUUCACCAGAAUUACGAUUAACAGUCGUUGCUGUAAGCGUCGCUGUGGUGGACUCCGACGGCAGCAACGAGAAAGAAAGAGAAGCCGAUAAAGAAGGCAAAGGAGAGAGAAAAGAUUGAUUAAAGCGGGUGGUUGUGUUGGGUUGGGCCGUUGGGGUGUAAAUAUGAAAUGCUUUUUAUUAUUAAAUUUGUAUUAAUUCAUCAAAUAAUUUUUAAUUAUCACCUAAUUUUUUAAAUGAAAAUUAAUCUUUCUUCUUUUUGAAAAUUGGUCUUUAAAUAUAGGUUUCUAGGUAAUUUUCUCAUUUGAUAGUCUUUAAUUUAGGAGAAAAUUACCUAGAAACCUACAGGUAGGUAGAUUUUUUAAUUUUAUAAUGUUAUCUACUACUAUUAAAAAAUUAAGUUAACACCUGAGUUUUGAAAUAAUUUAACAAGAUUGUUAGAUUGUAGCAGUUGUGUAGAUUUCCCCAUCAAAUUUCGUCAAGCCCGUUUAAAGUGAUCCAAUAAGAUUUCGAUGUUUUAGGCUUUAAUGUAUCUAAUUAAAGUUUGGAUCUUUUAUGUAUAGAGACUGGGCUGAUAUUCCUAAUUUUAUGAUAGGCCAAAUUAGGUCAAAGGCCGUCAUUGUAUAAAUACGAUUAUGGCUGAAUGAAUGGAGUUAGGGUCGUUCUUUUUCUUCCUGCCCCACAAUUGCUUAGGAAUUGAGUAAGGGGCACAGGAGAAGAUGGGCGUAGAAGGGCUUGAAAUGAUCUAUUAUUAAGAAGGUCUGCCUGUUGCGAUUGAAGAAUGAAUCGAUCAUUUGACUAAGAUAAAAAAAGAUCUAUCGGCAUUCCUCCACACAGGAAGAAGGAAGACAACUGCAUGUCCCUCUCAUUACUUGCUUUCUAGCUCAUUGCAAAGCUAAGACAAACCAUUAGCGGGCUCGCCCGAAGCAGCUUAAAUAUCCUGCUUUCGAGAACCUCUUUUCCUAAAGAAGGAAUAGCUCCUUCAAUUAAAGAACUAAAGACCUUAUUCUUUCGAUGUCAAUCACGGUGAGUAAAGAAGUUGCUCCAGUAUUAGUAAAAGCAAGCUAUCGCACUAGGUAGCUACUCCUUUCAGGGUAGCCCACAACCUCUGAUAUGGUAAAUUGUCAGUCUCCUGCUAAGGUGCAUUCUAUACAUUCAAAGUCGCGCCAAGGCGAAGCUGACUAAUCGAUUCGAUCUUUAUCGUAAUCGUAUAAAGGCCUCGCAUCAGAUAUUGGUUGCUUAUUUCAACAGAAUCCGAUUCAAGUGCGGAUAGAGCAACUGUCCAAUUUUGCUCACGGGUAAAUGAUGGGCUCUUAGUGGGCGAUGCCGAUUCCGACUUCCCAAACCGAAGACCGACUUUAGCUAUCUAUUGGGCCUCUCCCAUUUUGUUUUGCAUUAUGGUCCCCAAAUCACACGUGCAUUGCUCAUUCUGUUCUGCCUCCCAUCACUCGAGAGAAUUAAGAGCUACGUGUUGAUUUGGAAGAUUAAACUGUGAGAUUCAACUAUUGCAUUAACCAUGUCUAAUUCCGCUAUAGUUUUUGAAUUUCUUGAUGAUCUAACAUGAAAGAUCUGAUGAUUUUAUGAUAACAAUUUCUCCUACAAGUGGUAUCAGAGCCUUUUCAUGUUGAAUAAUUGAGAAUCAAAUUUUUGGAAUUUUGGUUCUUGCAAUAUUUUGAAGUUUUCAGAUUUGAUAAUUUUGGGUCUAGUUUUGUUUAAUUUGAAAACUAUUUGGUAUGUUAUUCUUGGUUAACUUUCAUAAUUUGGACUAAAAAUAGUUUGGGAAAUUUUAACAAUUACAGAAUUUUAAUGUUUUAAUAAAAGGUAUUCCAACGAGUGUAGCAACGCCAAGCGCUGUUGCAAGCGGCAUCGAUGUAGGUCGGUGCCUCUGCUCUGGCCGCCCAAGGAUGAAAAGAUGAGAAGAAAACAUUUUCUUUAGGGUUUUCAGAUUUGUAAGAUUUGGGAAUGGGAGCUUCACAUGCAAAUUGAUUAAUUAGAGGUCCUUGCUUGCAAUUUCACAUUAGGGUUAAAAUUUAAAGCUUCAGUCCCUAAAGUUUAAAGCUUAUGCAAUUGGGCCUUUAAGUUUUGGAUUUAAUAAUUCAAUUCCUAAGGUUUAAAAAUUAAUUAAUUUGGGUCAAUAAAGUUCUGAAUUUUAUAAAGAAAGCCCUCAUAGUUUAAUAAUCAAUUCAAAUUGGUGCCCAAAGUUUUAAUUUGUUCUCAUUGCCCCCCUAAAGUUUUAAAUUUAUUAAUUUUGGCCCUAAAGUUUUGAAUUAAUUAAUUUUGCCCCUCUAAAGUUUUGAAUUAUUAACUCUAAGGCCCUUAAGUUUAAAACUAAAUAAAAUAUACAAAAUUGGUGGUUUUUCUUCUCAAAUCUUGGUACUAAGGACCCUUUUAAGUUAUAUAAUAUUUGAAAGUGAAUUAAUUGAAACAACAAGUUGUCAAAGCAAUCUUUCUUGUGGAAAUUAAUUAACUUAGAAUAUUAAAAUGUGUUUGUCCAUAGUUCAUGUGAAUAUUGAUCGGCCCAAAGGAAAGUCAGUAUUUAGGCGAAUUGUGCGUGCACCUAUUUGGUUCAAUGUGUGAUUAAUAAAUCAGUCCAAAGAAAGAUUUAUUGAUUGACAUAUUAUUUUAUUGUCAAUGUUUGAUCACUACGCCAAGAGUACUACUUACAAGUCAAUAUUUAUGUCCAAAGACGAGAUAUUAUGCUGUGCUAGGUAUCUUGUGAUGAGCCUUACCACUAUUUGAGAUUAUUAUUAUUUGCAUAUUAAAGAUAUUCAUGUGAGCUAUUCGUAUUAGUUUUUAUCUAAUUCAGUUUCAGGCUCUACUGCUAAUAUCUCUGCUAGCAUCAAUUCAAUUCCAAUACUUAAUGACACGAACUUCAGGGCAUGACAAGAGAAAAUGAUGAUUGUUCUCGGAGUCAAGGACCUGGACCUUGCUUUGCGGGUCAAUCAACCUGUUGCACUUACUGAUAGGAGUACUUCUGAUGAUAAGAUGGAGAUGGAAAAAUGGGAACGAUUGAACCGCGUAAGCUUAAUGGUCAUGAAGCGUGUUAUUCCAAAAGUACUUGGGGGCACUAUGCCCGAUAAGGUGACUAUGGCUAAGGGUUUCCUUGAGAAUCUUGAGAAGAGGUUUUGCCAAGAAUGAAAAUGCUGAAACAAGUACACUUUUGGCAAACCUUGUAUUAUUGAGCUAUAAAGGGAAAGGAAAUACUCGGGAAUACAUUAUGGAAAUGUCUCACAUUGCUUCAAUACUAAAGGCGCUCAAGUUGGAUUUAUCUGUAGACUUGUUAGUACACUUGGUUUUGAUAUCCAUUCCGGCACAUUUCAGUUAAUUCAAGGUGAGUUACACCUGUCAAAAGGACUCAUGGUCCCUUAAUGAGUUCAUCUCACACUGUGUCUAGGAAGAGGAAAGAUUGAAGUAUGAGAAGACUGAAAGUGCUCAUUUGGUCAUCACCUUCAAGGAUAAAAAGAACAAGAAAAGGAAAAUUGAUAAGGAUGCUGUGAGAAUAGGACCACAAAAGAAACAGCAUAAGGAACCAACUAAAGGUGGCUGUUUCUUCUAUGGAGCUAAAGGUCAUAAGAAGAAGAACUGCACCAAUUACCACGCAUGGCGUGUAAAGAAAGUUAUUCUUCUUCAUUUGGUUUGUUUUGAGGUUAAUUUAACUUCGGUACCUAAACAUACAUGGUGGAUAGAUUCUUGUGCAACAACUCACAUUAGUGUGUCUAUACAGGGUUAUCUAAGUUGCCAAAAAUCAAGUGAUGGUGAAAGAUACAUCUAUGUUGGCGAUGGCAAAACGGUGGAAGUACCAGCAAUAGGAAAAUUUAUAUUAUUGUUAAAGACUGAAUUAUAUUUAGAUCUUAAUGAGAUAUUUAUUAUACUGCCUUUUAGACGGAAUUUGAUUUCUAUUUCUGCUUUGGAUAAAUUUGGUAAUUCUUGUUCAUUUAGGAAUGAAAAUUUAGUUUGACCCCUAUCUUUCUCAAAAGCCUCCAUUCAAUAUUUCUUAGCCCAUUAUUGGCCAAACCACCUGGGCACUAAAUGGGUAUGCUGCUUUACCAUGGGUUGAUUUCAGUUGCUCGUCCAAGCAGGAUCCGAAGUAUCGGCCUUAUCCACUAUAGAAAGAAAAAAAAAUCUGCUAGUAAAUAAGAAAAAAAGGCUCCCACGCUCCAGCUAUCAUACCUUUUCCCGGAAGUCCACAGAAAAAUUAUUGCUCAAAUCAAUGUAUGGACUUCGAGGACGUGCAAAAAGCGAUAAUAGAUCUCGGUGUUAAUCGAAGUAAACUCUGAAUACUAGAUAUGACCUCAAAUCCUUUGAAAAUAAUCAAAAAUGGAAAGUGUUCAAUUGGAAUAUGAAAACAUGACUAAAUGGUCCUAGUUACUCUUCGGGAUAGAGUAGAAGACGGGAGAGGAUUCUCGAACACGGAAAAGGAUCCAAUGAAUUCGAAAGAAUUGAACGAAGAGCCGUACGAGGUUAAAAUCUCAUGUACGGUUCUUUAGAGUGGCAGUAAGGUUGAUUCAUCUAUCAACUUUUCCAUUAUCAUCCCAAAAAAAUCAAACUCUGCCUUACGUAAAGUUGCCAAAGUAUGAUUAACCUCCGGAUUUGAAAUCACUGCUUAUAUACCCGGUAUUGGCCAUAAUUUACAAGAACGUUCUUCAAUCUUAGUAAGAGGGAGAAGGGUUAAGGAUUUACUCGGUGUAAGAUAUCACAUUGUUCGAGGAACCCUAGAUGCUGUCGAAGUAAAGGAUCAAAGAGGUCCCUCAAUGCAAGAAGACCAGACUUCACCGCUUGGGUAGUGGUGGAAAUACGACAAGGAAUUUCGCGACCUUAGGACUGUUAGAGUUACUGCAGUUGUUUACUGGGGACCAAUUCUUUAUCAGGUUACAAGAAUUUUUAUUCAAUUAAUACAAUUGCUUCUUUUAAUGAAUCACUGUAUGUAAGUACUCGAGGUACAAAACGAAAAUUAAUCAAUGAGAAGUCUGCCUCGUUGUAGCAUAAAAGAUUAGGUCAUACUCCAAGAGGAGAAUUGAGAGACUUGUGUCUGACCGGAUUCUCGACCCUCUUGACUUUACAAAUUAUGAUUUGUGUGUCAACUAUAUAAAUGGAAAACAAACCAAUAAAAGGAGAUUUCAAGCCAACAGGAUUUCGAACGUCUUAGAACUUAUACAUACGAAUAUUUGUGGACCAUUUUCUACGGGUUCUUGGAAUGAUCAAUAAUAUUUUAUAAUAUUCGUAGAUGACUUUGCAAGAUAUAGCUAUAUAUAUCUCAUUCAUGAAAAAUCAUAGUCUUUGGAUGUGUUAAAAAAUAUAAAGCUGAAGUUGAGAAUCAACUCGGCAAAAGGAUUAAAGUGUCAAAUCUGACCAUAGGGUAAAUACUAUGGCAAAUGACGGUUCAGGUAAAUAACGUCCAAGACCUUUGCUAAAUUCCUAAAGGAAUGCGGUAUCGUUCCGCAGUACACUAUGUCGGGGUCGCUCACUAUGAAUGGUGUUGCUAAAAGACAUAAUAGAACGCUUAAGGACAUGGUGAGGAGUAUGAUUAGUCAUUCUAUCUUAUUAGAAUCUCUCUGGGGUGAAGUAUUAAAGACCACAGCGUAUAUGCUCAACAGAGUUCCAAUUAAGGCCAUUGAUAAAACCCUUUAUGAGUUUUGGACGAGCAAGAAUCCCAGUUUGAAGCAUGUACGCAUUUUGGGAUGUCCAGUUGAGGCAAGACCCUAUAGGCUAAAUGAAAAAAAUUGGAUGCAAGAACCAUCAGUCAUUAUUUUAUUGGAUAUUCUAAAAGAUUCGGGGUUACAAGUUUUAUGAUCCUACAACUAAGGCAAUUUUCGAGACAAGAAAUGUUUGGUUCUUUGAGAAUGUUGAGUUUGUGGGGAGAGAAAUGGUUACUGGCUUUGUCUUUGAGGAGGAAUAUGUUGAAAUUUCUCCAAUUUUCAUUGACAAUGAUCAAGUUUUUAUCCCUGACAUUGUUCAAGAAGCAACUUCGGAUCAAGACAAUGUCGAUCUCCUUCUCAAGGUCAACAAAUUAUUUUAGAAGAACAAACUCUAUAGCCUCAAGAACGAAUGACAUUAAGAAGAUCCACUAAUACAUCGUAUUUCUCCAAGAACGUGAAGUUGAAAUUGGAAUAGUGGAAAAUGAUCCGAUUAACUUUCUUCAAGCCAUGGAAAGUUCUAACUCUCAAAAGUGACUUGAUGCCAUGAAUGAAAAGAUAAAGUCCAUAAAGGACAAUAACGUGUGGUACCUUGUUCCAAUGCUUGAAGGUGCGAAACUCAUUGGUUGCAAAUAGAUAUUUAAGAUCAAGAGAGAUUCGAAGUGUGAUGUAGAGAGGUAUAAUGCUCGUCUUGUCGGAAAGGGUUUUACAUAGAAAGAAGACAUUAAUAUUAAAGAGACAUUCUCUCCAAUUUCUUUGAAAUACUGAAACUAUAAUGACAUUGGUAACACAUUUUGAUCUUAAGUUAUAUCAGAUGGAUGUUAAGACAUCGUUUCUCAAUAGUGAUAUUGAUGUAACAAUUUAUAUGGUACAACCAGAAAACUUCAUAUCGGAUGAUGCAAAACAAAUGGCUUGUAAACUAAAGAAAUCCAUUUAUAGACUCAAACAGGCGUCUCAUCAAUGGUAUUACAGGUUUCAUCAAGUGAUCAUCUCAUUUGGUUUUGAGAUGAAUUUGGUCGAUGAUUGUAUAUACAAGUUCAGUGGGAGCAAGUAUAUUUUUCUGAUUUGAUAUAUCAAUAAUAAUUGCUUGCCAUCAAUGAUAUAAGUUUAUUGCACGAAACCAAGAGAUUUUUAGCGAAGAAUUUUGUGAUGAAAGAUCUUGGUGACACCUCUUUUAUAUUAAGAAUUCAGAUACACCGAGAUCAUUCUCGAGAUAUUCUUGGAUUAUCACAAAAGAACUAUAUUGAAAGGUACUUAAAAGAUAUGACAUGCAAGAUUGUAAACCAGGUGACACCCCUGUGGCUAAAAGAGACAAGUUCAGUUUAAAUCAAUGCCUUAAAAAUGACUUGAAAAAUAAA